rnacentral:rRNA from 1 species
UACCAGCUCUCCGAGUGGUAGGGAUGAUUAUUGGGCUUAAAGCGUCCGUAGCCGGCUUAGCAAGUUUCCUGUUAAACCCAGCGACUCAAUCGUUGGAUCGCGGGAAAUACUACUAGGCUAGGAGGCGGGAGAGGUCAACGGUACUUCUGGGGUAGGGGUGAAAUCCUAUAAUCCCGGGAGGACCACCAGUGGCGAAGGCUGUUGACUAGAACGCGCUCGACGGUGAGGGACGAGAGCUGGGGUAGCAAACCGGAUUAGAUACCCGGGUAGUCCCAGCUGUAAACGAUGCGAGCUAGGUGUUGGGAUGGCUACGGGCCAUUUCAGUGCCGCAGGGAGCCAUUAAGCUCGCCGCCUGGGGAGUACGGCCGCAAGGCUGAAACUUAAAGGAAUUGGCGGGGGAGCACCACAAGGCGUGAAGCUUGCGGUUC